AAGUCGAACGAGGUCCAACUGGUAGCAAUACCAGGGAAGGCCUAGUGGCGAACGGGUGAGUAACACGUGAGCAACCUGCCCCGAAGACCGGGAUAACAGUGGGAAACCGCUGCUAAUACCGGAUGUCCCCACCGGACCGCAUGGCCUGGUGAGGAAAUGGAUUCCGCUUCGGGAGGGGCUCGCGGCCUAUCAGCUUGUUGGUGGGGUGACGGCCUACCAAGGCGACGACGGGUAGCUGGUCUGAGAGGACGAUCAGCCACACUGGGACUGAGACACGGCCCAGACUCCUACGGGAGGCAGCAGUGGGGAAUAUUGCGCAAUGGGCGAAAGCCUGACGCAGCAACGCCGCGUGAGGGAUGAAGGCCUUCGGGUUGUAAACCUCUUUCGAGCAGGGACGAU
rnacentral:rRNA from 1 species